UACGAAGGGGGCUAGCGUUGCUCGGAAUCACUGGGCGUAAAGGGUGCGUAGGCGGGUCUUUAAGUCAGGGGUGAAAUCUAUGGGCUCAACUCAUAGUCUGCAUCGGAAACUGCCGGGCUUGAGUAUGGGAGAGGUGAGUGGAAUUCCUGGUGUAGCGGUGAAAUGCGUAGAUAUCAGGAGGAACACCUGUGGCGAAAGCGGCUCACUGGACCAUAACUGACGCUGAUGCACGAAAGCUAGGGGAGCAAACAGG
rnacentral:rRNA from 1 species